rnacentral:misc_RNA from 1 species
AACGCACCUUGCACUCUUUGGUUAUUCCGAAGAGUAUGCUUGUUUGAGUGUCGCGAAAUUCUCAACCCCGCCAGAGGCUUUAUUGACUUUGGUUGUUUGGGCUUGGAUCGUGGUCAUUUGUCGUGUUACAGCGACUUGACUGAAAUACAACAAGCUGAAUCUGAUGCAUUCAAUGCGGCUUGACCUGAUGUUGUAACUACCUCAUCGGGGACGCGUUGAAAAGAUCUACGGAGCUUUAAAACCCCACGCUAGGUCUUCGGACCCAGUGCAUUAUGACCUCAAAUCAAGUAGGACUACCCGCUGAACUUAA